rnacentral:tmRNA from 1 species
GGGCCAGUACUGGUUUCGACGGGGAUCGUGAAGUUGGAGAAGCGAGCCGCACGGGAUGCGUCAAAUUCCACAAUUAAAAUUAAACGCUAACGAUAAUAACGUAGCUAUCGCUGCCUGAGUGCGGCGGGUCGGCCUUGAUGCACCUGCACGUUAAGUAACCGGCCUCAUCCAUGCAGGAAACGACUUAUGCAAAGCUUUGAGCAUAUGGGCGUAUCAUGAAGCUACCGAUGACGGACUUUCGCCUUACUUUGGCCGCCGGAGGGAAUCCUUUAAAGAAAGGCUGCGCUCGGAGAAGUACGAUGAAUCGUUUUUCGGACAGGGGUUCGACUCCCCUCUGGUCCAUUU